rnacentral:lncRNA from 1 species
AGCAAAGCAAGGGAGAGUGUGGGAAAACUAUAGAGUGAAGGUUGUGCUUCGAGGGUGAGUUUUUCUUUGCUUUUUCUCAACUGAAAAUGCUUUAUGGCCAUGGCUUUUUACACAUAUGUGUGCUAAAUUAUGUGAGGAUAUGUUUUAUGAUUUUGGAUGAUUAUUUUGGUAGAGUUUAUUGGGUGAAAAACCGUGCAUGAGGUAAGGCAGCGAAUCUGCCAUAAGCACACUGCUCGGCAGUGUUUUGCAAGGCGAUUCCAGCCAUCCAAACGGUUCCCAAACAUUCCCAAAUUAAUGUGUAUCAUCUUUCAUAUGUUUUCUAUACUUUGGUAAAAUUUCAGAAGUUUGGAGCUCUUAUGAUUUAUUAUGAAUUUGUAAACAUCACUGUCCAUCUGGAAUACAUUUUUGGUAAACAAUCUUUGGGAGGCCAUAAGUAAAGUUUCAAUCGGUGAAAACCUUUGAAACUUGAAUAUGUCACUCUAGACUCCCGUAUCUUUCUUUUGACAUCGGUCUCACCAUUUUUGAGUAAGGGAAACAACCGGUAUAAAUUCUUGAAAUCUAGUUCUUAUUCCUUGUACCAUUCAGUAGAUUUUACAAACCUACGACUUUGAGGUGGCAAAUGCCGACUUAAAUCUUUGAUUCUCAAGCGUAUCUUUCUAUUGAAUAUUCACUGACAUGUUGGGAACUUACUUGUUCAGUUUUAGAAUUUUUGGUGAAGCCUAAAGUGGUUUUCCGAUUUAUGUUCUGAAUCUGCCAAACUUGAACUCUUUUUGUGCACUGAACUUUAGAUAGUCAUAUCUUCUAAACCAUGAAUGUUCUUGGAGUAAAUCCAACUGUAGAGUGUUAUGAUCUCUCCCUAGUUUCCAGAUUGACCCUUGGGGUUCCCAGUGGAGUUUGUAAAGGGAGAUAUGAUUUUUAAGAAAGCCCAUUGACUUGGUUGUAAUCUGGAAAUCUGAAAUUUUCAGAUUUUUGCUUGUUAAAUACCCAUCUUUGAGAGGACAUAUCUUGCUCGUUUGAAUUUUUUUUCAUUCGAUUCAAAUUGGAGAAUGAUCCUUGAAAUGUCUAGUUUCCAGAAUGUCUUUUGGAGCCUCAUUUGGAGAUCCGAGGCAGAUUUGAUGUCUGUUGCAAAACAACCUCUUAAGAGCUCAAGUUGUUGAAUUAUUUUCUAUGUAUCAAAGUUUAUUUUAAAUGAUGUUUCAUGAAAGAUUUAGUAUAUGUGCGUAACGAGUUUGGGACUAUUUAUUUUAAAUGAGGUCCGUUCUUUUAUUUAAAUUAUGAUGGACUUUUAAUGAAUAUUUUUGGGAUUAAACUCUUAUUUCUUGAUUUAUAUAAAUUAUUUUUUUAAGGACUUAUAAAUAUGAAUUUCGUAGGCCUACUGACCUACUGUGAUCGACAGUUUGUCGAUGUCUAAUAGCUUUGAAAUUUUUAUAGCAAGUCCCUACAUGAGUCUUGAGUACCCUGGUAAAAUUUCAAGCCAUUCCAACUUCGUUUGAUACUUCUUUAAAAUGCAAAACCUAAACUGCACAUUACUACCGAGAAUUUCAGAGAACAGAGGAAAGCGUCAUUCAUUUCAGUAGCUUCCUGUGUGAUCUAGCUUUCCAAAUAUUUAUGGUAUUAACCUUAUUGUGUUAGAUAGAUAUCCACCAAAGUUGAGCCCAGUUUGACAACGUUUACUAUUUUUCAAAAAUCCAAGUUUUCGAUUGUUCAAAACUGCCGAACAUGGUAGAUCGUGGUAAAAACGUCAUAUCUCUCAAACCACUUGGAGUUUUCGACUCUACCUUUUUUUUAUAUGAAACUAGACUCGAAGAUCUUUCCUUUGGUAUGAGUCUUGAGUCCAGGAGAUGUCGGAGUCAGAACAGAUUAAAUUUUGAAAUUGAGUCAGUGUAAAAAUAGAGCAUGUUUUGAUGAUGUUUGAUUGUGAUUCUUAUGUGCCUUAUGUGUUUGUGUUGCCUAUGUGUUUGAAUGAGAUUAGACGAGGUAUGAUUGAUUUUUGACUGUCUUUAAUGUAAUGAAUUAUGGAUGCUAGAACCCUAAAACAUUAAAAGAUACCCUAGGCACGUAGAAUUAGACUUUGUCUUAUGACAAUUUCUUCACGAACUUAUCGACUCUUCAUCAAUGAAGGUCCGGGCGACAGAAAGUGAAGCCGAAGAAGAACGACUCCACGCCAGCUUUANCCUUAUUGUGUUAGCUAGAUAUCCACCAAAGUUGAGCCCAGUUUGACAACGUUUACUAUUUUUCAAAAAUCCAAGUUUUCGAUUGUUCAAAACUGCCGAACAUGGUAGAUCGUGGUAAAAACGUCAUAUCUCUCAAACCACUUGGAGUUUUCGACUCUACUUUUUUUUAUUAUGAACUAGACUCGAAGAUCUUUCUUUCGGUUAUGAGUCUCGAGUCCAGGAGAUGUCGGAGUCAGAACAGAUUAAAUUUUGUAAGUUGAGUCAGUGUAAAAACAAGAGCAUGUUUUGAUGAUGUUUGAUUGUGAUUCUUAUGUGCCUUAUGUGUUUGUGUUGCCUAUGUGUUUGAAUGAGAUUAGACGAGGUAUGAUUGAUUUUUGACUGUCUUUAAUGUAACGAAUUAUGGAUGCUAGAACCCUAAAACAUUAAAAGAUACCCUAGGCACGUAGAAUUAGACUUUGUCUUAUGACAAUUUCUUCACGAACUUAUCGACUCUUCAUCAAUGAAGGUCCGGGCGACAGAAAGUGAAGCCGAAGAAGAAACGACUCCACGCCAGCUUUAAGAACAAUUGAGGUGGGCAUUAUUUUAUUAUUACGUAUAUAGAGAUCCCCUGCGUGACGUAGGCCUCAUAUGCGAAUAUAUAUGCAUGAUAUGUUUUGACUAUUAUUCAGAUCUUAUGUAAAUGCUUAUAUGUUUAAUGCCCUUUAUGAAAAUGAAAAUGUUAUGAAAAUGAAAUGUUUAUGAAUGAUUGACUGCCAAAAUGUUUAUAUUUUUAUAUGUAUCCUAUCUGUGUUGGUUCGCCAACUUUAAAGGAAAUCCAAUUGGGAUCCUAUGCUAGACAAAGGUCGCUAGCUAGGGUUAACGUGUACACUCAUGGAGACCGCGAGUCGCUUGCGACCGGUCUUGGCGUCCGUGGUAAGGAGGCCUCCUUCCCGGCGCGUGACAGAAAGGACAGAUAUGGAUCAUAUAGACUGAAAAUGGGAUGCGCAUCACCUUAUGAAAAUGAAUGAAAGGUUUUAGUAAGCGCAGGUCAUUCAAGAAAACCCCUGUGUGUUACUGUUGGCAGUUCAAUUUAUAUAUGUAUGCAUGUUGUAUUUUCGGCUUAUGUCACUGAGUAUUUUUAUACUCAGCCCUGCAUGUAUUUCUAAAUGUGCAGGUUGAGCAGGCGAUGGAAUGGAUCGGUGUUGAGCGGAUUUCCCUUUUGAUGUUUAUGUAAUGAAACCUUGAGUAUGCAUCUCCAUAUGCAUAACUCACACGUUUUUCCGCUGCAAACACUCUGACUUAUUUAUCAUUUCUACUUGAACUUAUUACUACUUCAUUUUAAUUAACUUUCAGUUGGGGUCUAGUCGUUAUGGCAGACUCGUUUGUGAAUUACCCAAGUGGUUAUAUAUAUA